rnacentral:rRNA from 1 species
UAUACGUUUGAUGAGUACUGUGAUUGGAAUGAAUACAAUUUAAAAACCUUAAUGAGGAACGAUUGGAGGGCAAGUCUGGUGCCAGCAGCCGCGGUAAUUCCAGCUCCAAUAGUGUAUAUUAAAGUUGCUGCAGUUAAAAAGCUCGUAGUUGGAUUUUGAAUUAUAAAAAUUUAACAUUCAUCUUUUAGAUGUGAUUUAAUUUUUAUAUUCUUCCUUUUGAUACGCUCCAUCAAAUUAUAUUUUUUGGAUUUAAGUGUUUCAAAUUGUUUACUGUGAAAAAAUUAGAGUGUUCAAAGCAGGCGUAACCUAGCCUUUGAAUAUAUUAGCAUGGGAUAAUGAAAUAGGACUUUAAUCCUACUUUCGUUGGUUUCUAGGGCUAAAGUAAUGAUUAAUAGGGAUAGUUGGGGUCACUAGUAUUUAAUUGUCAGAGGUGAAAUUCUAAGAUUUAUUAAAGACUAACUACUGCGAAAGCAUUUGACAAGGAUGUUUUCAUUAAUCAAGAACGAAAGUUGGGGGAUCGAAGAUGAUCAGAUACCGUCGUAGUCUCAACCAUAAACUAUGCCGACCAAGGAUCCGAGGUUGUUAAUAUGGAUGACUCUUCGGGCACUUAUAGAGAAAUCAUAAGUAUUUGGGCUCCGGGGGGAGUAUGGUCGCAAGGCUGAAACUUAAAGGAAUUGACGGAAGGGCACCACAAGGAGUGGAACCUGCGGUUUAAUUUGACUCAACACGGGAAAACUUACCAGGUCCAGACACAGUGAGGAUUGACAGAUUGAGAGUUCUUUCUUGAUUCUGUGAGUGGUGGUGCAUGGCCGUUUCUAGUUGGUGGAGUGAUUUGUCUGGUUAAUUCCGUUAACGAACGAGACCUUAACCUAUUAAAUAGUUAUUUAAACUUGAUUUUUAAAAUCAAAUGUUUAAAAAACUUCUUAGAGGGACUCUUCACUGAGAGAGUGAAUGGAAGUUUGAGGCAAAAACAGGUCUGUGAUGCCCUUAGAUGUUCUGGGCCACACGCGCGUUACACUGACAUAUUCAACGAGCAUUAUCCUUACCCGUCGGGGUUGGGUAAUCUUUUAAAUGUAUGUCGUGCUGGGGAUAGAUCAUUGUAAUUAUUGGUCUUGAACGAGGAAUUCCUAGUAAGUGCGAGUCAUCAACUCGCGCUGAUUACGUCCCUGCCCUUUGUACACACCGCCCGUCGCUCCUACCGAUUGAAUGGUCCGGCGAGAACUCAGGAUGGAUAUGGAUUUUGGACACCGUUAGGUGCUCCAACCAUAUCCAGAAUUUGUUCAAACCUUACCAUUUAGAGGAAGGAGAAGUCGUAACAAGGUUUCCGUAGGUGAACCUGCGGAAG